AUGUCGCAUGCCACAAUGGAGGUAGUUUGUUGGAAUGUUAGGGGACUCAACAGCCCUGCUAAGAAAAAGGCGCUUAGGGAGUUCGUUGACACGGUGCGUGUCGUGAUUGUAUGUAUCCUGGAGUCUAAACUCGAAAGAGUUGACCAAUUUAGUAUUAUGCAAUGCUUAGGUCCAUCAUAUGAUGGCUUUUCCUAUCUUCCUGCGUCGGACACGAGAGGUGGAGUCAUUAUUGGGUGGGAUUCAUCCAGAGUGAUGAUCUCGAACACGGUGCUCGAUACUAACUUCAUCACGGGCUAUGUAUCGCCUAUGGAGGGGCCUGGGUGGUGGUUGUCGGUGGUAUAUGCGCCACAGGAGGAUGAGCAGAAGAUCAUCUUCCUUGAGGAGCUUUCGGAGAGAAGAAUCAUCUGCCCGGGACCAUGGCUGGUGAUUGGAGAUUUCAACAUGAUCCUUAAUGCAGCGGACAAGAGCAACAACCGGCUGGAUCGCAGGAUGAUGGGCAAAUUCAAGCGGUUUGUCGACGACAAUGGUAUCAAGGAGCUUUCCUUGCAUGGGCGGAAAUUUACUUGGAGCAAUGAGCGUGAGGUGCCCACGCUCACAAAAAUCGAUAGAGCUUUUGUUUCGGUGGAUUGGGAGUUAGAUCACCCAGAUUGCUUGCUACAAGCCUUGUCUACCUCGACCUCAGAUCACUACCCUCUAUAUCUAUCGCUGGAGGAACAUAUACAGCCACGAAAGCGCUUCAGAUUCGAGCUUUUCUGGGUCAAACUUGACGAAUUCUUGGACGCGGUGAAGGAAGCUUGGGUAUGUGACAAGGCGAUCACGGAUCCCUUCCAUAGAUUGGACAUACUGCUGCGUAACACGGCGAAGUACCUCACUGCCUGGGGCCAAUGA
rnacentral:rRNA from 1 species